CCCUUAGAUGUUCUGGGCCGCACGCGCGCUACACUGAUGCAUUCAACGAGUUUUACCUUGGCCGAGAGGCCUGGGCAAUCUUUUAAACCUGCAUCGUGAUAGGGAUAGAUUAUUGCAAUUAUUAAUCUUGAACGAGGAAUUCCUAGUAAACGCGAAUCAUCAAUUCGCAUUGAUUACGUCCCUGCCCUUUGUACACACCGCCCGUCGCACCUACCGAUUGAAUGCUCAGGUGAGCCAUUCGGACUUUCAUCAUGCUGGUUUCCAGUUUUGAUGAAGGAAAGUCUUGCGAACCUUAUCAUUUAGAGGAAGGAGAAGUCGUAACA
rnacentral:rRNA from 1 species